UAUACAUGCAAGUCGAACGAUGAAGUUCCUUCGGGAAUGGAUUAGUGGCGAACGGGUGAGGAACACGUGAGAAACCUGCCUUUCAUUCUGGGAUAACACCGGGAAACCGGUGCUAAUACCGGAUACUCCAUCUUGGCGGCAUCGCCGAGCUGGGAAAAAAUUUUGAUGAAAGAUGGUCUCGCGGCCUAUCAGCUAGUUGGUGAGGUAAAGGCUCACCAAGGCGACGACGGGUAGCCGGCCUGAGAGGGCGACCGGCCACACUGGGACUGAGACACGGCCCAGACUCCUACGGGAGGCAGCAGUAGGGAAUAUUGGGCAAUGGGCGAAAGCCUGACCCAGCGACGCCGCGUGAGGGAUGAAGGUCUUCGGAUUGUAAACCUCUUUCAGUAGGGAAGAAGCGAAAGUGACGGUACCUAAAGAAGAAGCACCGGCUAACUAUGUGCCAGCAGCCGCGGUAAUACAUAGGGUGCAAGCGUUGUCCGGAAUUAUUGGGCGUAAAGAGCUCGUAGGUCGUUUGUCGCGUCGAUUGUGAAAAUCUGAGGCUCAACCUCAGACCUGCAGUCGAUACGGGCAAACUAGAGUGUGGUAGGGGAGACUGGAAUUCCUGGUGUAGGGGUGGAAUGCGCAGAUAUCAGGAGGAACACCAAUGGCGAAGGCAGGUCUCUGGGCCAUAACUGACACUGAGGAGCGAAAGUGCGGGGAGCGAACAGGAUUAGAUACCCUGGUAGUCCGCACCGUAAACGGUGGGCACUAGUUGUGGGAACCUUCCACGGUUUCCGCGACGCAGCAAACGCAUUAAGUG
rnacentral:rRNA from 1 species